UUUCUUGGGACUGAAAGAGGCCAGACAGAAAUCCAUCUUCUCCAAUUCAUCCUAAUUCAAGUCUUCAUUAUUGCAACCAGUAUAGAGGCCAGACAGAAAUCCAUCUUCUCCAAUGCAUCCUAAUCCAAGUCUCCAAUAUUGCUACCAAUAUAGGUAAUUCAUGAGCAAUCCUUGUCAACAUUACCAGCACAGUCAUAACCCUAUUCCACAAGAGAUUUCCAGAAGCAUACAUAGAGGAGUUCAUUGAAUAAUAACACCCUGAAAAAAUCCCGUGGCGUGGGAACAAGUGAAUGAGCUGUAAAAGAAGAAUGAGUGUUAGAGAGAGAUAAAGAAAGAAAUGGUGGGAAAGAGAGGAGGUGGGAGAGCAACAGGAACAAACUUUACAAAUUUACAUGAGCCUUCUGGCCUGAGUGCUCCUCUCCUUACCCCUUUCUGUCCCUGAAUAGAGCCAUUAGCUGACAUAAGGGCUGAGGAAGGAUGCUCUAGGAAACAUCUGAAGAAAUACUAUCCAAACGGCAGCAGAUUCUGCAAGAGAAAAGCUGCACUAUCUCUGCUGCUAAUCCUCUGUGUUGUUCUCAGACUCUCAUUCUCUGGAGUGGUGUGGUGCACAUGCUGUACCGUGCUAUUGGGGGGUGGGAGGGGGGAAGGUGAUUUCUAGAAAUCACCAGGUUUCCAGAUCACACAUUCCUCAGGAAAAAGUGAUCCAGCAGAGUUUAAGUAAUAGUCAAAAAGGACAGAAUUAUCUGGGCCAGGUUCAGUGACUUUAGAUAACAGGGACUUCUAAGAGGGGGCCGCUCUGCAUCCCACCAGUUUUAUCCACUUCAAUAUCCUCUCCGUGCCCUGAAAAUAACCAGCAGUCCUUUAUUCUCAGUCCUGUGUCUAGACAUAGUCUAUGCUGUACUGGCUACUGUAUUCAGCUUCACUCCCUUGUGGCCAGAGGUCACACCCGUCGUUGAGCAGAGGAGCAUGCUCAGCUGGAGGCAGCUUUCUUAACUGGGCCCUAGUGCCAUCAGCACCAGCCCAGGCAGCAAUGCCUCUCCCACAGCUAAGAUCAGGUCUGAGAUCCUCUCUAAAAACAAGAUUAAAAAGGACUUGCGGCCACUGGAUUUCAUGGGCCCAAAAGGCCAACUCUAGAUGGGUAUCAUGGAGGGGGUUGGAGAAGCCUGAAUAACCUGUGACCUUAAAGAAAAAUCAGUUACUAGCUUUUAACUAUAGUGUGUAGUUUGCCUCUGUCAUAAAAAUAAAGGGAAGGGUAACCACCUUUCUGUAUAAAGUGCUAUAAAAUCCCUCCUGGCCAAAGGCAGAACCCUUUCACCUGUAAAGGGUUAAGAAGCUAAGAUAACCUCGCUGGCACCUGACCAAAAUGACCAAUGAAGAGACAAGAUACUUUCAAAGCUGGGGGGGGGGGGGAGACAAAGGGUCUGUCUGUCUGGGUGAUGCUUUUGCCAGGAACAGAUCAGGAAUGCAGUCUCAGAACUUCUGUUAAUAAGUAAUCUAGCUAGAAAUGCAUUAGAUUUCCUUUUGUUUAAUGGCUGGUCAAAUAAGUUGUGCUGAAUGGAAUGUAUAUUCCUGUUUUUGUGUCUUUUUGUAACUUAAGGUUUUGCUUAGAGGGAUUCUCUAUGUUUUGAAUCUGAUUACCCUGAAGGUAUUUACCAUCCUGAUUUUUCAGAGGUGAUUCUUUUACCUUUUCUUUAAUUAAAAUUCUUCUUUUAAGAACCUGAUUGAUUUUUCAUUGUUCUUAAGAUCCAAGGGUUUGGGUCUGUGUUCAUCUGUACAAAUUGGUGAGGAUUUUCACCAAGCCUUCCACAGGAAAGGGGGUGUAGGGCUUGGGGGGAUAUUUUAGGGGAAGACGUCUGCAAGUGGUCUCUUUCCCUGUUCUUUGUUUAAGACGCUUGGUGGUGGCAGCAUAGGGUUCAAGGACAAGGCAAAGUUUGUACCUUGGGGAAGUUUU